CGGGACGGGGUGGAGUAAUGUCUGGGAAACGUGCCUGAUGGAGGGGGAUAACUACUGGAAACGGUAGCUAAUACCGCAUAACGUCGCAAGACCAAAGAGGGGGACCUUCGGGCCUCUUGCCAUCGGAUGUGCCCAGAUGGGAUUAGCUAGUAGGUGGGGUAACGGCUCACCUAGGCGACGAUCCCUAGCUGGUCUGAGAGGAUGGCCAGCCACACUGGAACUGAGACACGGUCCAG
rnacentral:rRNA from 1 species